rnacentral:tRNA from 1 species
GCCUGGGUGGCUCAGUCGGUUAAGCGUCCGACUUCAGCUCGGGUCAUGAUCUCACAGUUCGUGGGUUCGAGCCCCGCUUCAGGCU